GUGCUUGCUUCAGCAGCACGUAUACUAAAACUGAAACAACACAGAGAUUAGCAUGGCCCCUCUGCAAGGAUGACACACAAUCCUGUGAAGCAUUUCAAAGUAAG
ensembl:snRNA U6 U6 spliceosomal RNA